AAAUAAGAAGCAAUUAUUUGCAUUUAGUUUCGACCUAAAAUUUUGAUUUUUUAUCCUUAUUUA
rnacentral:tRNA from 1 species